rnacentral:rRNA from 1 species
UGCGUAGGCGGUUAGGUAAGUUGGUAGCGUAAUUCCGGGGCUCAACUCCGGAACUACUACCAAAAACUAUCUAGCUUGAGUGCGGCAGGGGUAUGUGGAAUUCCUAGUGUAGCGGUGGAAUGCGUAGAUAUUAGGAGGAACACCAGAGGCGAAAGCGACAUACUGGGCCGUAACUGACGCUGAGGCACGAAAGCGUGGGGAGCAAACA